GACGUAGGGCGCAAGCGUUGUCCGGAUUUAUUGGGCGUAAAGAGCUCGUAGGCGGCCUGUCGCGUCGACCGUGAAAACCCGCAGCUCAACUGCGGGCUUGCGGUCGAUACGGGCAGGCUGGAGUUCGGUAGGGGAGACUGGAAUUCCUGGUGUAGCGGUGAAAUGCGCAGAUAUCGGGAAGAACACCCGUGGCGAAGGCGGCUCUCUGGGACGGUACUGACGCUGAGACGCGAAAGCGUGGGGAGCGAACAGG
rnacentral:rRNA from 1 species